AGUGAACGCUGGCGGUAGGCCUAACACAUGCAAGUCGAACGGCAGCACAGUAAGAGCUUGCUCUUACGGGUGGCGAGUGGCGGACGGGUGAGGAAUACAUCGGAAUCUACUUUUUCGUGGGGGAUAACGUAGGGAAACUUACGCUAAUACCGCAUACGACCUACGGGUGAAAGCAGGGGAUCUUCGGACCUUGCGCGAUUGAAUGAGCCGAUGUCGGAUUAGCUAGUUGGCGGGGUAAAGGCCCACCAAGGCGACGAUCCGUAGCUGGUCUGAGAGGAUGAUCAGCCACACUGGAACUGAGACACGGUCGAGACUCCUACGGGAGACAGCAGUGGAGAAUAGUGGACAAGGCGCGAAAGUCUGAUCCAGCCACACCGCGUGGGUGAAGAAGGCCUGCGGGUUGUAACGCCCUUUUGUUGGGAAAGAAAAGCAGCAGGUUAAUACCCCGCUGUUCUGACGGUACACAAAGAAUAAGCAGCGGCUAACUUC
rnacentral:rRNA from 1 species